CCCUUCGUCAAAUUUCACAAACCCUAGCCUCACUCUGUUCGUAGCAUGGAUAGAUAGUGGCGGCGGAGAGGCGACGGCGGUGCGAGCAGCAGUGGCCGACAGUUGAGGGCGGUGCAACGAGUCUUGAUGAGCCAUGGCCUUAGCAAGCUGUUCUUUGUGUUCAAGUCGUCGUCGUCGGAGGACCUCAAUCCCACUUAUCUUGUGCCCUUGAUGCGGGGUGAAGCAAAUCGUGGAGCUUACUGCUAACACGGAAGCUAAUCAAGGCCGCAUAUUCUUCACAUGCCCUUCACACGAGAAGGGUGGAAGUGGUUGCGAUUUUUGGUAUUGGGAGGAAGGGUAUAUUAAAUACCUGAAUAGGAAAGGCUUGAUUGAGCAAAACACUUGUGCAAAGUUGCUGAAUGAAGCAAACCAGAGGGAAAUGCAGAGGGGAACUGAAGAAAUCAAGCUGGAUGCAGAUGUGAAGAAGAAGAGCACGGUUCAAGAGAUUAGAAAAGAUGCAGAUGUUGAAGAAUUUAAGCAGGCUGAUCAUAUGUUGCUCAUUUUGAGGGAGAUGAUGGUGAUGAUGAAGCUCAUGCUAGUUGGUGGUGUGUGUUCAGUUGGUUUGAUAGUGUGUUGUUUCCUUGUUCUAUGGUUUAAGUGAUGUGUGCCCAUUGUAUCAGUGAAUUUUGGGUUGUAUUCAGGCUAAACCAUACUGUGUUGGUUUGCAAUGUGCAAUGAGAUGUGAAACUUUUGAAAUGGUAAUGUCAGGUUUGCAGUCUUUAGUACA